ACCUACGCCGAAGACCUAUCGCAGCUAUCCUUCUUCCUCCAGAUCGAAAGAAAGGAGCCCGCGAGAGGUCUCUCUUGGAAAACAUCCUCGAUUAGAGAUCCGGAAGAAGCCUGGAUCGGGGCAGUUAAAUUUUUUUCUCGCACUCCAGCUCUCCUUCUCGCCAGGACGAGGCCGACCUUUCUCUCUCGUUUUUUUUUUUUCUCUCUGCUAUUCGGACACAAAGGAAACGGAACUCCCUUAACCCCCAGCUCCGGCUCUCUCAUUCGCGAAUCCAGAAGAAAAGAACGAAGUUUCCGCCUCCCUCCCUCUCCUUGUCGUCUCUGGUUCGCGAGAUACCCAACGCCGGACUACAUCUGCCUCCCACGUUUGAAACCGCCGGUCUCUCUCCUUUGGCAAGGAUAUGAAAUGAGCAUAUACGCGAAAAAGGUUGGAGUAGCUCUAGUGGAAGAUAAGAUUAGAGAGAGUUGCCUUAGAUAUGUUGAUUGCAACAAAGAGGGAUCUAUUACCAAUGAUUUGGGUGAUGAUACCUUACUUGCAAAGCUUCAUUUGGUUAAUCUUGCUGGUUCUGAACGUGCAAACGUACUGGAGCUGAUGGGCUGCAUUUGAAAGAAGGUAUAUAUAUAAAUAAGGCCUUGUUAGCUCUUAGUAAUGUGAUAAAUGCACUUGGUGAUGAGAAAAAGAGGAAAGACGGGGCCGUGUCCCUUAUCGAGAUAGCAAGUUAACAUGUUUAUUGCAGGUUCUUUGUGAGAGAAUUACUUCGCAGGAGGCAAGUAAUGGUGAACUCCAUAAAGAGUUAAAAGAGCAUAAAAUUAUCUAUGAACAUUUAUCAAAAAAUGUUUUAGGUAUUUUUUUUGGGAUAGCUUUUUAUUGCUGUUUAAAGAAUUUUUUUAGUGCAAAAAUUUUAAUUUUUAAUUUAAAAAGUUGUUUUAAGAAGCAGUAAGAAAGAUGUC